rnacentral:RNase_P_RNA from 1 species
UAAAUUAAUUUCAUCCGGAUGAGGAUUCUGAGCUUUAUGUUCAGGGGAAGGUCUGAGGUCUGAGCACUCGAGAGGAGUAAUCUAAGUUGGGACCAGAAAAAAUUAUUGAAAUCUGACUUGACAGGAUCUUCAGUUAAAUUCCUCAAUCAACUUCUAUUAUUAGAUUUGUUGAUAACCCAAUUCAGACUACGGAUUUGAAAUUUA